GGCAGUUGCCUCUUGGCCCCUUCUCGGGGGGGGGGGGCAGCGGCGCUCAGGGGGCUGCCGGGCGGGCGACGAGCUCCAGGUUGAUGGGCUUGUCGGCCACCAGGACGAUGCGGGACACGGACGUCACCUCCACGCCGCGGGGGUCCGGCCGCACCUCGAACGCCUGGAUGAUCUGCGCCGAGAGGGGGGGGCGUCAGAGCCUCGGGGUCCCUCCCCGCGCCGGGGCGCCCGGCCCGGCUCCCCGCACUGAGCCGCCCGGCACUGCCCCGUACUCACUCUCGCCAGAGCCAGGUGCAUCUCGAGCUCGGCGAUGCGGCGGCCGACGCAGGCGCGGACCCCGUAGCCGAAGGGGAUGGAGCUGAAGGGGUGGUGGGGGGAGCCGUGGCCCCGGAGCCAGCGCUGGGGCAGGAACCGCUCGGGCUCGGGGAAGUGGGUCUCGUCGUGGGACAUGGCGUAGUGCGCCAGGACGAAGAGGGUCUGUGGGGAUGGGGGGGGGUUAAUGCCCCCCGGCCGUCCCCUCUGAGCGCCACGGAGGUCCCCGCUGCACGGCCCCACUCACGUUCUUGGGGAAGAGGUAGUCUCCAAUGACGAUGUCCUUCUCCCAAAAGACCCUGGCGUUGGUGGGGACCACGGGGUAGAUCCUGGGCCAGGACACAGGGAGUGUCAGCGCGGGAGCAGGUCCUGUCUGGGCACCAGCCUCCAGUGGGAGAGGAAACCCCAGGCAGGGCAAGGGAGGACAUUUCCCGCUGCUCGGUGGCUCCGUCUCCAUCCCCGGGGAUGGGACCUACAUCCAGCCGCACACCCUGCCUGGGAGACGUCUCCAUGCCCCAGGACCUCCACCUGCCACCCCAGGUGGUGCUCCUCGGUCCCAGACCCCCGAGCAAGAAGGGAUGGGGCUACCAGCUGCCAUGGGGCCCUAGAAAUGGGGCAGCGAUAGGGGGUCCUCAGGCAAGGGGCAAGGCUGGGCAGUACCUCAGCGUCUCCUUGAUAACAGCACGAAGCAGCGGCAUCUUGGGGAUAUCCUCAGCACCAGGGACCCGGUCGGGGGGCACGACGGCCAUCAGCUCCUGGUACAGGGCCUCCUGGAUGCCCGGGUCCCGGGAGAGGUGGUACAAGGCCCAGGACAGCGUGUUGGAGGUCUGGGGGAGCAAAGUGCAGAGGGGAGGGACACGGGGCUGGCACCAGCACCAGGCGCUGCACCGACACAGCGAAGGACGGCCCCUGCUCCAGCGCACGGGGAAACCAGAGGUAAGGGCCAGCGAGCACGGGGGAAACUGAGGCUCAGAGCAAGGCAGUGGCAGAGCAGGGAGGACAACCUGGGUCUGUACCAACCGAUGCUCUAGGAUUUUCCCCCAUGGGGCCACCCAAACUGCCGGCCCAGAGUUUACGGCCUGACUGAAGGGACCGGUGCCCCUGGGCAGAGCUCAGUGGAGAUCCCCCCGUGGCAGCUGCCCAGCUCUUACCGUGUCCACACCAGCCAGCAGCAGCUCAGCCACGCUGCCGUAGACCUCCUCCAGGCUCAGCCGGCCACUGGCCAGCAGGUAGCUCAGGUAGCCCGACACCUCCUUGCCCCGCUCCACCUGCCCCUCCAGCUCCUCCAUCUUACGGUCAAUCAGGGUCUUGCCUGCGGGGACAGGGAUAGCAGGACCCAGGGAUGACGGAGCGAGAGGUGGCGAAGGCAAGGGGCUGGGGACCCCAGCUCCCGCUGGAGACGUGGCCGCACAGGCCGCACCCCCGCAACCCGUGGUGAGGUGCAAACCCAGGGCUGCAGAAAGACGAGCGAGCCCUGGCCUCAGUGGCUGGAGAGCUCUGCGGGGUCCCCACUUGCCCCUGCUGCACUGGGUGGGCUGGCUGGGGGGUCCUUAGAGGGGUCUGAUCCCACUGAGCCAGGCCCCCCACUGCCACCCCUCACCGAAGGCGAAGAUGGUGUCCCAGCUGUCCAGGUAGCGGUCCCAGAAGGGCAGCACCUUCCGGGUCCAUCGGGGCAGGACGGUGGCGAAGAUGGAGUUCUUGAACAUGAGGUUGAUAGAGUCGAUGAAGCGCUGGGUCUCGGGGGGGACCUGCCGCUGCAGGCACCCGAUGCGGGUCUCAAAGAGGAUGUAGGAGAUUCCUGCGGGGGACAGGCCGCGUCCAGACCCAUGUGGGCACGGGGGCAGGGCAGGGGCAAGGGGGAGGACCCCCUACCUUCCAGGGCGAAGCGGUAGAGCAGGUUGGCCACGUCGCUCACCAGCACCCCCGAGGAGCUGCGGCUCCGCUCGUCCCGCAGACGCACCAUCAGGUCCGACACCACCUCGCCGAUGGCGCCCGCGUACAGCACCGCCUCCGAGGGCUUCAGCAGCCGCUUGUUGAGGACUUGGCGCAGGCGGCUCUCGAUUCGCAGGCGGAUCCUCCCCGCGCUGUGCUGGGCAUCACCCGAGCCCCAGAGCUCUUUCCACCCCCCAUCCCCGGGUCCAUCUGCUCGGCAGAAGAGGGAGCAGUGUGAGCUCCUCCCCGGACCUGACAGCCGAGGUGAUUGCCCUGGGGAAGGGGCAGGAGCUGCCUACCGCCCCACAGAGAGGACUCACUCGGUGAAGGGUCCGUAGGGCAGGCGCCGCGUGUCCCGGUGCUCCUUCCACAGGGCCAUGUCACUCCUCAUCGGGUACUUGCCCUCCUGCCGCAGCAGCUGCUCCAGCACCUCAGGGCUCCCAAUGUUGAUGUUCUCGUAAUGCCCGAAGGUCGACUUCCAGAUGGGGCCGUAAAUGCGCCGGGACAUCAGCUGCAACGCACCAGAGCACAGCAGUGCAAUUGGGGUAUCUUGCAGAGCAGUGCUCAGCACUGGGGCAGGAUCAGUCCCUCCCUGCCCUGAUCCUGUCCUACGUGUGUGCAAUGUGCUCUGCACUCAGCCCAGGGAUCCCUCAGCACCGGCUGGGCCCAAGCACCUGCCUCCAACCGGUACCAACAGCAAAUCACCAGCGUGAGCGAGGAGGACACAGCCUGUGCCCGACCUCAGGGCGCAGCAGGGCUUGCAGAACGGCGCAUACUCCCUGAGCUGGAACCAUCCCCACAGCCAGAGCACUCUGCAGAGGGCUCAGGCUGGUGUCUCCGGGCACAGAGAUCCCUGGCCCUCGACACCUCUGCUGGAGCUGAGUAAACCAGGUGCCAACCCACAGCACAGCCAGGGGCAUCCCUCAUCCAUCCUGAGGAUGCAGGAGGGGCCUGGGGGGUCUUCCAUGGAGGCAAGACCAAGAGGCGACAGACGGGACGGGGACGACGGCCAUGCACGGGGCUCUGCAGAGAUACAGGGCCAAUGUAGCAGCUGCCAGCUCCAAACCUCACUGCUUCCAGCACCACCCAGUCGGUGCACACUCGCUGCACACCCUGUUUUGCCUACCCCAGGGACAAAAGUCCCCACGUAGGGCUUUGAACCUGACGCUUGAUAAACGUGGUUAAUGAUCA